GUCAAGUCAUCAUGGCCCUUAUGUCCAGGGCGACACACGUGCUACAAUGGCCGGUACAGAGGGAAGCGAGCCCGAGAGGUUGAGCGGAUCCCUAUAAAGCCGGUCGCAGUUCGGAUUGAGGUCUGCAACUCGACCUCAUGAAGCUGGAAUCGCUAGUAAUCGCAGGUCAGCAUACUGCGGUGAAUACGUUCCCGGGUCUU
rnacentral:rRNA from 1 species